AGAGAAAGAGAUUCUACCACUGCAUCGAGUGUAAUACGAUAUUUAUCCAAGUCUCGCGUUUUAAAUUUGAAAUUUAACUGUCUCGAGUGGAUAAAUUUCGUAUUACACUCGAUGCAGUGGUAGAAUCUAUAUUUAU
rnacentral:sRNA from 1 species